CCGUGCUUGUCAGGAUCGCUGAUAUGAUUUAAGUUCGUGUCGCGAUCUGGGUUGCAGAUUGGAAUGGGCCUAGAUUGGAUAAUCCAUGUUUCUGUUGUGCCUAGAUUGGAUGAGUUAGAGUCUACGUUUGCUGUGAUGGGUUUCCUGGGAUUAUGCUUGUAGUCGGCCGGUUCUCCGAAUCUCUUGGAAUCAUAGAUGGGAACGCGUUUCUUUCUUUCGAAAAUGGAUCUGCAUGCUGCACAGUUUGGCUGGUUUUAAAGCCUUUAACAUUAGGAUCAUAUAAACUUUUUUUUUUAGAAAACAUGAAUCAAAGUCUUUCACUAGGUGUAUUAUUUCAGGCUAGUGUUGCCAUGGAGAAAUUCGAAACAGUAUAUGCAGGUUAUAUGCAAUGUGUGAUGUAUUUUGUACUGUUUAAUAACCCCGAGUGAAAACUAAUGUAAGAAGAUUAAAAUUGGGAUUUGAUAGGGAAUGGGGACGAUGGUUGAAGUUGGAGGCCGCACAGCAUGACGAGGACUGUGUCCUAGGAUGAUGGAAUGGAAAGGAUGGGUGAUGCAAGAGAGGCCAGGGUAGAGCACAGCAAGGUGCUUAUUUUUAACACACAAUCUCUUUUGGUACUUGAAGAGACCAUGUGGAUUUCCUACUUUCCUUUCAUAAAAGGAUACAAAACUUGGAUUCUUCGUUUGGAAAGCAUAGCUAUCCUGGUGUAAAUUCUUCUAGCUGGUGUUAAGAAGAAUCUUCUCCAACAAAAUAGCUAGUUUCUCCAAAUUCCUAGCCUAGACUGAAAAUAAUUUUCCUUUCAUAUACCAUGGUCUGUAACAUGGAUUUAGCAUCUACGUUUGUGUGAAAUAUCUUAGUACCAUCCGCUAAGUGGAUUUGGUGGCCCAUUUUAUACAAUGCAUUCGAUUUAAA